AUGCACGCUGGCGGCGUGCCUAAUACCUGCAAGUCGCGCGAACAGACGAGGAGCUUGCUCCUCUGACGUUAGCGGCGGACGGGUGAGUAACACGUGGAUAACCUACCUAUAAGACUGGGAUAACUUCGGGAAACCGGAGCUAAUACCGGAGAAUAUAUUGAACCGCAUGGUUCAAUAGUGAAAGACGGUUUUGCUGUCACUUAUAGAUGGAUCCGCGCCGCAUUAGCUAGUUGGUAAGGUAACGGCUUACCAAGGCGACGAUGCGUAGCCGACCUGAGAGGGUGAUCGGCCACACUGGAACUGAGACACGGUCCAGACUCCUACGGGAGGCAGCAGUAGGGAAUCUUCCGCAAUGGGCGAAAGCCUGACGGAGCAACGCCGCGUGAGUGAUGAAGGUCUUCGGAUCGUAAAACUCUGUUAUUAGGGAAGAACAAAUGUGUAAGUAACUAUGCACGUCUUGACGGUACCUAAUCAGAAAGCCACGGCUAACUACGUG
rnacentral:rRNA from 1 species